AGAUGCGAUCUUACCCGCACUAAAGCACCAGAUCCCAUUAGAACUCCGAAGUUAAGCGUGCUUGGGCGAAAGUAGUACUAGGAUGGGUGACCUCUUGGGAAGUCCUCGUGUUGCAUUCC
rfam:Triticum aestivum genome assembly, contig: Triticum_aestivum_CS42_TGACv1_scaffold_393665_5AS